rnacentral:rRNA from 1 species
UGGGGAAUAUUGCACAAUGGGCGAAAGCCUGAUGCAGCAACGCCGCGUGAGGGACGACGGCCUUCGGGUUGUAAACCUCUUUUAGCAAGGAAGAAGCGAAAGUGACGGUACUUGCAGAAAAAGCGCCGGCUAACUACGUGCCAGCAGCCGCGGUAAUACGUAGGGCGCAAGCGUUAUCCGGAAUUAUUGGGCGUAAAGAGCUCGUAGGCGGUUUGUCGCGUCUGCUGUGAAAACCCGAGGCCCAACCUCGGGCCUGCAGUGGGUACGGGCAGACUAGAGUGCGGUGGGGAGAUUGGAACUCCUGGUGUAGCGGUGGAAUGCGCAGAUAUCAGGAAGAACACCGAUGGCGAAGGCAGAUCUCUGGGCCGUAACUGACGCUGAGGAGCGAAAAGGGUGGGGAGCAAAACAGGCUUAGAUACCCUGGUAGCCCACCCGUAAACGUUGGGAACUAGUUGUGGGGUCCAUUCCACGGGAUUCCGUGACGCAGCUAACGCAUUAAGUUCCCCGCCUGGGGAGUACGGCCGCAAGGCUAAAACUUAAAGG